GUGAACGCUGGCGGUAGGCCCAACACAUGCCAGUCGAACGGCAGCACAGUAAGAGCUUGCUCUUACGGGUGGCGAGUGGCGGACGGGUGUGGAAUACAUCGGAAUCUACUUUUUCGUGGGGGAUAACGUAGGGAAACUUACGCUAAUACCGCAUACGACCUACGGGUGAAAGCAGGGGAUCUUCGGACCUUGCGCGAUUGAAUGAGCCGAUGUCGGAUUAGCUAGUUGGCGGGGUAAAGGCCCACCAAGGCGACGAUCCGUAGCUGGUCUGAGAGGAUGAUCAGCCACACUGGAACUGAGACACGGUCCAGACUCCUACGGGAGGCAGCAGUGGGGAAUAUUGGACAAUGGGCGCAAGCCUGAUCCAGCCAUACCGCGUGGGUGAAGAAGGCCUUCGGGUUGUAAAGCCCUUUUGUUGGGAAAGAAAAGCAGCAGGCUAAUACCCCGCUGUUCUGACGGUACCCAAAGAAUAAGCACCGGCUAACUUCGUG
rnacentral:rRNA from 1 species